rnacentral:rRNA from 1 species
GACGAACGCUGGCGGCGUGCUUAACACAUGCAAGUCGAACGGAAAGGCCCUGCUUUUGUGGGGUGCUCGAGUGGCGAACGGGUGAGUAACACGUGAGUAACCUGCCCUUGACUUUGGGAUAACUUCAGGAAACUGGGGCUAAUACCGGAUAGGAGCUCCUGCUGCAUGGUGGGGGUUGGAAAGUUUCGGCGGUUGGGGAUGGACUCGCGGCUUAUCAGCUUGUUGGUGGGGUAGUGGCUUACCAAGGCUUUGACGGGUAGCCGGCCUGAGAGGGUGACCGGCCACAUUGGGACUGAGAUACGGCCCAGACUCCUACGUGAGGCAGCAGUGGGGAAUAUUGCACAAUAGGCGGAAGCCUGAUGCAGCAACGCCGCGUGCGGGAUGACGGCCUUCGGGUUGUAAACCGCUUUCGCCUGUGGCGAAGCGUGAGUGACGGUAAUGGGUAAAGAAGCACCGGCUAACUACGUG